GAUGAACGCUGGCGGCGUGCCUAAUACAUGCAAGUCGAGCGAACGGACGAGAAGCUUGCUUCUCUGAUGUUAGCGGCGGACGGGCGAGUAACACGUGGAUAACCUACUUAUAAGACUGGGAUAAUUACGGGAAACCGGAGCUAAUACUGGAUAAUAUUUCGAACCGCAUGGUUCAAAAGUGAUAGACGGCCUUGCUGUCACUUAUAGAUGGAUCCGCGUUGCAUUAGCUAGUUGGUAAGGUAACGGCUUACCAAGGCGACGAAGCAUAGCCGACCUGAGAGGGUGAUCAGCCACACUGGAACUGAGACACGGUCCAGACUCCUACGGGAGGCAGCAGUGGGGAAUCUUCGGCAAUGGGCGCAAGCCUGACGCAGCAACGCCGCGUGAGUGAUGAAGGUCUUCGGGUCGUAAAACUCUGUUGUUGGGAAAGAACAGAUGUAUAAGUAUCUGUGCACAUCUUGACGGUACCUAAUGAGAAAGCCACGGCUAACUACGUG
rnacentral:rRNA from 1 species